rnacentral:ncRNA from 1 species
UAAAACGGGGAGCCUGCGUAUCAAGCGGGCUGAGAGUAAGCUGAAUCGCUUUGACCCUUAACCUGAUUUGGGUAAUGCCAACGUAGGGAAACAGAGA